rnacentral:rRNA from 1 species
AAACGCUUGAAGUCAGUCGCGUUGUUCGGGAUUCAGCCUUGCUCUUGCUUGGUGUACUUCCUGUUCAAUGGGUCAGCAUCAGUUUUGGUCGGUGGAUAAGGGCGCAGGGAAUGUGGCACCUUCGGGUGUGUUAUAGCUUUGCGU